rnacentral:rRNA from 1 species
CGUUAAUGGGUGAUGGCGUGCCUUUUGUAGAAUGAACCGGCGAGUUACGAUCUGAUGCAAGGUUAAGCAGAAAAUGUGGAGCCGUAGCGAAAGCGAGUCUGAAUAGGGCGAAUGAGUAUUUGGUCGUAGACCCGAAACCAGGUGAUCUACCCUUGGUCAGGUUGAAGUUCAGGUAACACUGAAUGGAGGACCGAACCGACUUACGUUGAAAAGUGAGCGGAUGAACUGAGGGUAGCGGAGAAAUUCCAAUCGAACUUGGAGAUAGCUGGUUCUCUCCGAAAUAGCUUUAGGGCUAGCCUCAAGUGAUGAUUAUUGGAGGUAGAGCACUGUUUGGACGAGGGGCCCCUCUCGGGUUACCGAAUUCAGACAAACUCCGAAUGCCAAAUAAUUUAACUUGGGAGUCAGAAUGUGGGUGAUAAGGUCCAUAUUCGAAAGGGAAACAGCCCAGACCACCAGCUAAGGUCCCAAAAUAUAUGUUAAGUGGAAAAGGAUGUGGCGUUGCCCAGACAACUAGGAUGUUGGCUUAGAAGCAGCCAUCAUUUAAAGAGUGCGUAAUAGCUCACUAGUCGAGUGACACUGCGCCGAAAAUGUACCGGGGCUAAACAUAUUACCGAAGCUGUGGAUUGUCCUUUGGACAAUGGUAGGAGAGCGU